rnacentral:rRNA from 1 species
UGCCAGACUCCUACGGGAGGCAGCAGUGGGGAAUAUUGCGCAAUGGGGGAAACCCUGAUGCAGCGACGCCGCGUGAGUGAGGAAGUAUUUCGGUAUGUAAAGCUCUAUCAGCAGGGAAGAAAAAAUGACGGUACCUGACUAAGAAGCACCGGCUAAAUACGUGCCAGCAGCCGCGGUAAUACGUAUGGUGCAAGCGUUAUCCGGAUUUACUGGGUGUAAAGGGAGCGCAGGCGGUACGGCAAGUCUGAUGUGAAAGCCCGGGGCUCAACCCCGGUACUGCAUUGGAAACUACCGGACUGGAGUGUCGGAGGGGUAAGUGGAAUUCCUAGUGUAGCGGUGAAAUGCGUAGAUAUUAGGAAGAACACCAGUGGCGAAGGCGGCUUGCUGGACAGUAACUGACGUUGAGGCUCGAAAGCGUGGGGAGCAAACAGGAUUAGAUACCCGAGUAC